CACGUAGGGGACGAGCGUUGUCCGGAUUUAUUGGGCGUAAAGAGCGUGUAGGCGGCCAGGUAGGUCUGCUGUGAAAACUCGAGGCUCAACCUCGAGACGUCGGCGGAAACCAUCUGGCUAGAGUCCGGAAGAGGAGAGUGGAAUUCCCGGUGUAGCGGUGAAAUGCGCAGAUAUCGGGAAGAACACCCGUGGCGAAGGCGGCUCUCUGGGACGGUACUGACGCUGAGACGCGAAAGCUAGGGGAGCAAACGGG
rnacentral:rRNA from 1 species